rnacentral:lncRNA from 1 species
UAAAGAAUGUGGUUUAUUGGGAUAGUGGAGCGAAACUGAAGGCAAAAUAAAUGUCAAGGUGUCUAAGAAGCACUGAGGGAGAUAAUCCAAGUAAGAGGAUUAGAGGAUUGGAGAAUCCCUUGUGAAAGACAUGUGGCCAGGUUGUGGGAAACUUGUACCAAAGAAAUAAUGAGAGAGGAAUAUUUGCACUGCUCUUUAUGGAUUUCUUAUUCGAGGGUAAUGGGCUGACCAUGUCCUUGGAAUUUCCACUUGCUCUCCUGGAAUCAUCACCGUGUCAGUCGUUUGUUGUAGGUGCCAGGCCCACUUCACAAUAGCGACUCCUUCCCACUCAGCCCGGCAGUGGCCUAGGUGACUCCCUCCCUCCUUUUCUUCUGCUUUGAGUCUGAUCGAAUAUAAUCCCCUCCCCUAUGUCCCUGCCUUUGGGAUCCUGUCCCUUCCCACUCCCUUUCUCAAACCCCAACCUUGGCUCUCCUCUUCUCUCUCCAGGAACACAUGUUCCUAAACACUACAGAGAGGAAGGUGUACGUAUGUGAAUGACAAACUCUGGAUUCUUCAGCAUUGAGGCCAAACCGUCCUGCAACUGGGGAAAUCAUCAGUAUUCAAGACAGCAGGCCUGUGUUCUACCUGUGCUUUAGGACAAUGCAUCUAUGUUUCCAAAGCAUCAAGAUCCCUAGAGUUACAUUCUUGGAUGGGCCAUGACAGCUGGGAAGGCCCUGCAAGUCCCCUUUCAUGCUUUGUUUGCAGCAUGGCAGGAGAGUGACUUGCAGAGGGAAUUUGUGCUCCAUGAAUGAAGAGGAGAAUCUAUUUCAGAAAGGUAUCACAAAGGCACGCACACACACAUGCACGCACGCACCACUGUCUGUGCAGCCACACACAUGUGCACACACAGUUUAAAACUGGUGAUUAAAGAC